UGCGCAGGACGACCUGCGUCAGCGUGUCGUUGGGGACGGCCCC
rnacentral:ncRNA from 1 species